GGUUCGAUUCUGGCCUGGAUUGAACGCUGGCGGGAUGCUUUACACAUGCAAGUCGAACGGCAGCACGGACUUCGGUCUGGUGGCGAGUGGCGAACGGGUGAGUAAUGUAUCGGAACGCCUAGUAGCGGGGGAUAAUCAUGCUGAAAGCGUGAAGCAUACCGCAUACGCUCCUUUCGGGGGAAAGCGGGGACCUUCGGGCCUCGCACUAUUAGAGCGUGCCGAUAUCGGAUUAGCUAGUUGGUGGGGUAACGGCUCACCAAGGCGACGAUCCGUAGCUGGUUUGAGAGGACGACCAGCCACUGGGACUGAGACACGGCCCAGACUCCUACGGGAGGCAGCAGUGGGGAAUUUUGGACAAUGGGGGGAAACCUCGAUCCAGCCAUCCCGCGUGUGCGAUGAAGCGCCUCGGGUUGUAAAGCACUUUUUGGCAGGAAAGAAACGGCACGGGAUAAUACCCCCGUGCAACUGACGGUAAAUUCCGCAGAAUAAGCACCGGCUAACUACGUGCCAGCAGCCGCGGUAAUACGUAGGGUGCAAGCGUUAAUCGAAUUACUGGGCGUAAAGCGUGGCGGCAGGCGGUUCGGAAAGAAAUCCCAGAGCUUAACUUUGGAACUGCAUUUUUAACUACUGAGCCAGAGUGUGUCAGAGGGAGGUGGAAUUCCGCGUGUGUAGCAGUGAAAUGCGUAGAUAUGCGGAGGAACACCGAUGGCGAAGGCAGCCUCCUGGGAUAACACUGACGCUCAUGCACGAAAGCGUGGGGAGCAAACAGAUUAGAUACCCUGGUAGUCCACGCCCUAAACGAUGUCAACUAGCUGUUGGGGCCUUCGGGCCUUGGUAGCGCAGCUAACGCGUGAAGUUGACCGCCUGUGAGCAUGGUCGCAAGAUUAAAACUCAAAGGAAUUGACGGGGACCCGCACAAGCGGUGGAUGAUGUGGGAUUAAUCUGAUACAACGCGAAAACCUUACCUACCUCGGACAUGUUGGAAUCCCGAAGAGAUUUGGGAGUGCUCGCAAGAGAACCGGAACACAGGUGCUGCAUGGCUGUCGUCGCUCGUGUCGUGAGAUGUUGGGUUAAGUCUCGCAACGAGCGCAACCUUGUCAUUAGUUGCUACGAAAGGGCACUCUAAUGAGACUGCCGGUGACAAACCGGAGGAAGGUGGGGAUGACGUCAAGUCCUCAUGGCCCUUAUGGGUAGGGCUUGCCACGUCAUACAAUGGUCGGGAUGAGGGUCGCCAACUCCGCGAGGGGGAGCCAAUCCCAGAAACCCGAUCGUAGUCCGGAUCGCAGUCUGCAACUCGACUGCGUGAAGUCGGAAUCGCUAGUAAUCGCGGAUCAGCAUGUCGCGGUGAAUACGUUCCCGGGUCUUGUACACACCGCCCGUCACACCAUGGGAGUGGGUUUUACCAGAAGUAGUUAGCCUAACCGUAAGGAGGGCGAUUACCACGGUAGGAUUCAUGAUCAGGUGAAGUCGUAACAAGGUAA
rnacentral:rRNA from 1 species